AGCGAUGUGGCGCAGCGGAAGCGCGCAGGGCUCAUAACCCUGAUGUCCUUGGAUCGAAACCAAGUAUCGCUA
rfam:Lipomyces starkeyi NRRL Y-11557 unplaced genomic scaffold LIPSTscaffold_14, whole genome shotgun sequence.